AGGAAGGAAGGAAGGAAGGAAGGAAGGAAGGAAGGAAGGAAGGAAGGAAGGAAGGAAGGAAGGAAGGAAGGAAGGAAGGAAGGAAGGAAGGAAGGAAGGAAGGAAGGAAGGAGCACAGCUCUGGAAAAGUGUCCAUGGAUGGAGUAAGCCAUGCUAAAACUAUAUGGUCAUAGUCUUCCUGAAGUUCUGACAGUACCAGAAAGGAAUAUUAAUUUGCAUCAGACCAACUGGUAGAACACCCAACUGAUCUCAUGAGAUGGCUACACAAGUGCAAGACGUGACACAGGACUAUGUGUGAACUCAUGCUUGAAAGGGAGAGGAGAGUAAAAGAGAUGGAUGGGCAUGAGGAAGAAAAGGAGAGAGAGAAUGGAACCAAAUCAAAUGGGUCACUGAUAGAGAAAAGAAACAGGCCAAUUCCACGGAAACACUCCAGAGAUCCUCCAGUUUUUACUGACCUACAGGCAAAGCACCAGCCACUAACUUCAGUUCGCUAACCUGAUGGUCCAACCACGUUUUCAUUCAUUCUGUUUUGCUUCUCUCCAGACUGUACUUCCCAAAACAGACACUGUUGGAUGCCAUGGCAAAGCCUUUUUAAAGUCAAAGUAAAUAUCUAAGUAUUAAUAUCUAAGUAUUACAUAUAGGCUUUUUUUCUCUUAUCUAACAUCAGAGGAAUUAAACUUUAGACAAAACUCAUUAGCUAUUGUUGUACACUGACAGAACAUAAUAGAGAAAGCAGCUUUUCCAAUAGAAUAUUGUUUCUAAAAUAUUAGCAUGAUAUGUUGCUUUUUUACUAGCUAAAGCAGAUAUCACAUUCUUUUCUUCCUUUGUUUUUAUUAGCUUAGGCAGAUUGAAGUCACCACCCAUCUAAGCUUUUUCAAGCUUUCUGAAAAGAAAAGGCAUUUUUUCAGACUGUGUUUUUAGUUGCAGUAUGAAAGCCUGAUAAAAUUAAAUGAUUCACUGAAGAGUAUUGAAAAAAAAUUAUCUGUCUAGGUUUCAUAUCCUUUAGACAAACAGGAGUCCACUGAGAAAACUGGGUUUCAAUAUAACACCAAAUAAUUUUACCAAUGUGUUACUUAAUCAUAUUUAUCUCACAAAUUCUAUUUCUUGCCUCUUUCAUUAUCUUAAUUAGUCAAAUGGAAACAAAACAGAACAAAGUUUAGCAGGAGAUGAAGACUUUCAUGAAACUAAAGAAUCCUUAGCUGUAAAGACUAAGGAUCUUCCUUUGCCCAUUGAAAAACAAACUGGCUUCUUUUUUUUGUCAAGUAGAUGAUCAUGAAACUCCAGCUGUAACAUAUAUCCAGGAUUCCAAUAAGCAAAUUACCUGUUCCAAGCUGUAAUUCAAGGUCUGAAACAUCUGGCUGUGGGGUAGUUGGGGCUAAUGAAUUUAGUCUAUGGUUUUCAUUAGACACAGAAAAUUAGAUUACUAUCCAAAUACUCUUGGUAUCUUGGUCUGGAAAAGAAUUCUGCUUCCAUUUUUCAGUAUCAUAAAUAUAGUAAAUGAAAGAAAAGACCACACAGAACAUACUCAGCUAGUAAGUAGAACUGCUUGGAGAUAAGCAGGCAAUUCCUGCUCAUGUUUUAGGUAGCAGUCAUCAUAUCAUGAUUUUGUGUACAUCAAGCAAAGGCAUCCACAAGAGAAGAGAUGAGAAGAGAAAAAUGUACCCCAGGCUCACACAGAACCUGGGAAUGGACAAAGAUGUGUACUGUGUACAAAGCAGGAAGACUUCACAGCAAGCUGGGACGUGUCUGUUCUUUCUAUCUAC